UGAAUUGACAUAACCAGAGUGAAUAUUGAGAAAGUGGUUCUGCAAGACUCGAGUUGGUUACUGUUUCACGACGACCAUGUACCUUGACUAAUUUGCUCCUGCACAGAACAAAUAUAAUCAUUGCGAUUCAGGCGACAAUGAGUUUACAGUGAUAUUUAUUUUCAAUUAGAGUUCAGCAGUAAAGAGAAGUUGUUGGGCCUUAGCACACUUGAUAUGGCUGGUGCAUGUACGCUCUGCGGACGGCCAUUGCCGCGUAAGAGUAAAAUGCGUCGAAUUGAACACUUUCGCUGGCUUCCGUAACAUUAUUCCAACAUUUACAAAAGAAUAUGUCUAAUCUGAAUUUCGAACACAUACCAAUUAUAUUGAUCUAGUAGAGCUUGUAGCAGUAAAUGCACGGCUAUCUCCUGCCUUCAAGUCGCAUUUCUUAUGUGGACGGUGAAUGAAUUGUUCCUACAAAACGAAGAUAACACACUUAUAAGUGUAAGGGCUUCGUGGUUUGGCAGGUCCCAAUUUUUGUUCUGAGGUAAUGCGGCGUUAAAUUUCCACAGUAUUUAAGAUUGCCGGCCCUGAGAACAAAUUUGGGUUUCGGUUAUUUCUUUACGAGCUGUGAUUCUCAGGUUCCCGUGUAUGGGGCUAAUAUAGACAGGCGCCACUUGGUGUUAGAUCCUUGGACUACCGAGCCGUGCAACUGAACUUCGCAUAUCUGGUUUGUCUAUUGCAUGUGCGCAGGACGACUCGCAGAUGAUUCCUCGAAAGCCAACGACCCGUGGCGAUCGCGGGACCGUGCUGCAACUGUUGGACCAGAAAGAAAGAAAGAGAAAAAAGAAACCCGACCGGCCUCCGUAAAUCAAUGCUCUCCGACCACCCAUGUACAUCCUCCGCAACGGACAGGAACUUGGCAGCCAUCUUACAGGGUUGGAGAAACAGCUUCUGCCUGAAAAGUAAACGCCGGCAAUGUGACGUUUUCACGGAACAAAAAGAACUUCGGAUCAAGAGCUCAAGCGGCGUUGCUGUUCAUUUCGGCAACAAGGCCACUACAAUGUCACGAAGGUAAACACAAAUAAAAAUAUUGAUUGGCGAAA
rnacentral:lncRNA from 1 species